rnacentral:lncRNA from 1 species
GCUGCUGUGGAAAUCUAAGCAAGUGGAGGGAUAUCCAGAUUGAGCUGGCCAAGUUUGGUACAAGAGCUAAGAGUCUGGGAACAAUGGGAGGUCAGCUUUCUGUGUCACUGUGGAUACAAAGGAAGUACUUUUGAGACACAGACAGGAAGUGACUGAGGACUUUAAGGGCAGCUUGGGCUAUCCAGGAAAGUUCUUCAUUCUUGUUUUUUUCUGCUGAGGCUCUAGAGGGACACCUGUCAGACUGACCAAGGCCGAAGAUGGCUCCCUACCAGAGAGAUUCAACUGAGGGCUUGCGAUAGGUCUUGUGACAUUGCUAUUGAUCUUGAGACAUUCAUCUGAAGCAUGAUUGUCACUGGCUUCAAACUUUCCUCAUCAUAAGAGAGGGACUGGGUCUACUUCAAAUGUUUCGCACUAAUGAAGUUAACAUUCCCUUUCAUGGUGAGCUCUGCCCUCAUCAUGAGACCAUGCCCAGGCUAGUCUGCUGGAAGGAAGUCAGAGGCACACGGAAGAGAGCCACAUUCAGCCAAGGCCAUUCUAGACCAGUUGUUCCCUGUCACUUCACUAAUUGGCCACAGCACAAGGUACACGGAUGGAGCUGGAAGCCAUUAUCCUCAGCAAACUAAUGUAGGAACAGAAAACCAAAUAUUGCAUGUUCUUACUUAUAAGUGGGAGCUGAACAACGAGAACACAUGGACACAGGGAGGGAAACAACACACACUGGGGCCUGUCCAGCAGUAAGGUUGAGGCAGGGAAAGCAUUAGGAAAAAUAGCUAUGCAUGCUGGGCUGAAUACUGGGUGAUGGAUUGAUAGGUGCAGCAAACCACCAUGGCAUAUGUUUACCUUUGUAAGAAACCAGCACAUCCUGCACAUGUACCCUGGAACUUAAAAUAAAAAUUAAAAUGUUUUUUAAAAAAGUCAUGAUGUUUUCUCAGCAGCCCAGUUUACUUUUCCAGACCCCUCUGGCAUGUGUUACUCCAGAAAAAGGCCGGUGUGUGUGAAACCCAGGCCACUGUGACACUGUAUAAUGAGAGGGACAGGCAGGGAGGAGGGAGAAGGUUGCUCCA